rnacentral:tRNA from 1 species
CAAGAUAUAGCUUAAACAAAGCAUCUAGUUUACACCUAGAAGAUUCCACAGUUCGUGUAUGUCUUGA